ACGUUUGUAGCUCAAUAGGUAGAGCACUACUAUGACAUAGUAGAGGUCAGUGGUUCAAUUCCACUCAAACGUA
rnacentral:tRNA from 1 species